rnacentral:rRNA from 1 species
AGCGUAGACGGCGCUGCAAGUCUGAAGUGAAAGCCCGGGGCUCAACCCCGGGACUGCUUUGGAAACUGUAAUGCUAGAGUGCUGGAGAGGUAAGUGGAAUUCCUAGUGUAGCGGUGAAAUGCGUAGAUAUUAGGAGGAACACCAGUGGCGAAGGCGGCUUACUGGACAGUAACUGACGUUGAGGCUCGAAAGCGUGGGGAGCAAACA